AAAAAAUUGAGCACUUUUUCGGCGCCGCCUCCCAUCCAAAAGAUACAUCAGGGGUUUGAAAUAAAUUUUGAUGGAAAAAAUCGAGGCAAAAUAGUGAUUUUUGGCAAUUUUGAGAUGUCCCCUCGUUGCCAUGGUAACAGGAAAUUAAAGACUGAGCAUGUAGUUACAAAGGCAAUGGUCCAGUCAACAUUUGUGCCAAGUUUGAUUAGUAUUGAAGCAUUUUUCAUAGUUUCAUAGCAGUUUGAACUUGUAACAGGAGGCUUUUCAGUGAAAACGGCCAUUUUUCACAAUAUGCUCAUGGGGGAAAGGGUUAACUAAAAAAUUAUAAAUGUUACAAAACAUCAAUUUUUCACCACAAUUAGGUGAAAUACGACAUGUUAACAUGGAAAAACUAGUUUUUAGGUGAUUCCAAAGUUUUUCAUCAUUUUUUGUUAACCCUUUACCACAUAUAUACGCGAAACAACGCACUUUCGACCCCCCCCCCUUUUUAAGGCCUCAAAUAGUGAAAAAAUGUCCUAUUUGGACCCCAAACAUAAGUUUUCGUUUGAGAAAUGAUGCUUAAAAAAUUGAGCACUUUUUCGGCGCCGCCUCCCAUCCAAAAGAUACAUCAGGGGUUUGAAAUAAAUUUUGAUGGAAAAAAUCGAGGCAAAAUAGUGAUUUUUGGCAAUUUUGAGAUGUCCCCUCGUUGCCAUGGUAACAGGAAAUUAAAGACUGAGCAUGUAGUUACAAAGGCAAUGGUCCAGUCAACAUUUGUGCCAAGUUUGAUUAGUAUUGAAGCAUUUUUCAUAGUUUCAUAUUAGUUUGAACUUGUAACAGGAGGCUUUUCAGUGAAAACGGCCAUUUUUCACAAUAUGCUCAUGGGGGAAAGGGUUAACUAAAAAAUUAUAAAUGUUACAAAACAUCAAUUUUUCACCACAAUUAGGUGAAAUACGACAUGUUAACAUGGAAAAACUAGUUUUUAGGUGAUUCCAAAGUUUUUCAUCAUUUUUUGUUAACCCUUUACCACAUAUAUACGCGAAACAACGCACUUUCGACCCCCCCCCCUUUUUAAGGCCUCAAAUAGUGAAAAAAUGUCCUAUUUGGACCCCAAACAUAAGUUUUCGUUUGAGAAAUGAUGCUUAAAAAAUUGAGCACUUUUUCGGCGCCGCCUCCCAUCCAAAAGAUACAUCAGGGGUUUGAAAUAAAUUUUGAUGGAAAAAAUCGAGGCAAAAUAGUGAUUUUUGGCAAUUUUGAGAUGUCCCCUCGUUGCCAUGGUAACAGGAAAUUAAAGACUGAGCAUGUAGUUACAAAGGCAAUGGUCCAGUCAACAUUUGUGCCAAGUUUGAUUAGUAUUGAAGCAUUUUUCAUAGUUUCAUAGCAGUUUGAACUUGUAACAGGAGGCUUUUCAGUGAAAACGGCCAUUUUUCACAAUAUGCUCAUGGGGGAAAGGGUUAAGA